rnacentral:lncRNA from 1 species
ACAUUUCAAUGAAUUUAAAAAAUAAUUUUUUCCUCUAUUUUUUUUCUACUAAUUUUAUUUUAUUUUAAUUGUUAUUUUUUUUGAAAUUUGAUUUUGAUGCAGAAAAGAAGAAACCAAAGCCCAUUAAUUCGUCAAAUAACGAAACCAACCCUAACGAAAUCACCUCCAAAUUUUUUUCUCUCUUAUAUUCUUGCAUUAAAUUACUUUUUUUAUUUCUAUCUAUACAAUAAUUUUUAUUUUCCUAUAGUUCUUUCUUUUUUUUUUCUUUCUUUGUUCUCCACUGGAUUAUAUUCUCAUUCUAAUUUCUUGUAAUAUAUUUUUUUUAUAUUAUUAACCGAUCAUAUUUUUUAUUAUUGUUUAUAUUUAAUUUGUAAAUUUUGAUUAUAAUUUCUAUCCGCCGCAUCGCGCGGGUUCCUAAACUAGUUAUUAUUAGUCUGUAAAAAUUAUAUAAUUUAAAAUAGGGUUAAUUUCAUACAGGAGGAAAAUGAGGAUACGAAGAAAAAGAGGAAAAAGAAGAAGCAGGAGAGGAAGAGAAAGAGAAAGAGGAAGAGGAAGAGGAAGAAGAAGCAGAGGAAGAAGAAGAAGAAGAAGGGUAAAAAUGUCAUUUUACCUUAUUAACUAAUCACGGUUAAGUAUUUUAAUUGUGGUUAACUAGAUUUCUCUAUCGGGUAUUAACGACAGGGACAUAUCUAAAUACAUUAGAACUUUUGUAGGGAUAACUUAUGAAAGUUGAACUUUGCAGAGAUAUAUCUGCUAUUCACCAUGUUUGUAGGGACUUGUAUGAAAUUAACCCCUUAAAAUAAUUACUGCUAAAUAUAAUUUGAUAAUAAAUAAUAACAGUCA